CAAUUUUCAGAAUUAAAUAACUUAACAAUUUAUUUAUUAUUAGCCAAAAGUUUCAAAAGGACGCAUGUUAUUGAGCUAUGAAUCCUUUGAUAUCUGUUGGACUAAUCUGAUGAAACAAAAAGUACCCGACAAUACAUGAAAAAAUAAAAAUUAAAAACACCAACAGUUACAGAUUAUCUCCUUCAAUGAACGAGGCUAAAGCAAUUUAUGGGUUGAGCAAUUCUUUCUGAUUUCGCCUACAUUCCCGACCAAAACUUCUAUAGCUCCCAUUUUCACCAUAGAUUUACUAAACUGGUCGAAAAAAGCCUGGGGAACUUCCAACUGUUUCACAAUCCCAGCCAAAGUUGGGUUUCAUAAGGAGGGCUGCAUCGGACUGGAAAAGGCCCUUGUUUUGGUUAACAGUGGUAAAAUAACGAAUGUCGAAAGAAAGUGAGCUUUGAGGUUCCAUUUCCACAGUUGUGGAGGGAUUUACUUGAUUAGAGCACUGUUCUUUUAGCGUUUCAGCAUAAGUUGGAUCAUCAUCCCCUUUUUCCUGUGAAGUUAAGCCUCCUAGAGAAAGCUCCACAAUGAG
rnacentral:lncRNA from 1 species